rnacentral:rRNA from 1 species
GACGAACGCUGGCGGCGUGCCUAAUACAUGCCAGUUGAGCGCUGAAGGUUGGUACUUGUACCAACUGGAUGAGCAGCGAACGGGUGAGUAACGCGUGGGGAAUCUGCCUUUGAGCGGGGGACAGCAUUUGGAAACGAAUGCUAAUACCGCAUAAAAACUUUAAACACAAGUUUUAAGUUUGAAAGAUGCAAUUGCAUCACUCAAAGAUGAUCCCGCGUUGUAUUAGCUAGUUGGUGAGGUAAAGGCUCACCAAGGCGAUGAUACAUAGCCGACCUGAGCGGGUGAUCGGCCACAUUGGGACUGAGACACGGCCCAAACGCCUACGGGAGGCAGCAGUAGGGAAACUUCGGCAAUGGACGAAAGUCUGACCGAGAAACGCCGCGGGAGUGAAGAAGGUUUUCGGAUCGUAAAACUCGGUUGGUAGAGAAGAACGUUGGUGAGAGUGGAAAGCUCAUCAAGUGACGGUAACUACCCAGAAAGGGACGGCUAACUACGUG